UACGUAGGAGACGAGCGUUGUCCGGAGUUACUGGGCGUAAAGGGUGCGCAGGUGGCGGCGCGCGUGGGGGGUGAAAUCGCCCGGCUUAACUGGGCGGGGGCCUUCCAGACGGCGUGGCUUGAGCAGCGGAGGGGGACGUGGAAUUCCGGGUGGAGCGGUGAAAUGCGUUGAUAUCCGGAGGAAUACCAAAGGCGAAGGCAGUGUCCUGGGGAGUGUCUGACGCUCAGGCGCGAAAGCUAGGGGAGCGAACAGG
rnacentral:rRNA from 1 species